UGCAAGUCGAGCGGAUGACAGGAGCUUGCUCCUGAAUUCAGCGGCGGACGGGUGAGUAAUGCCUAGGAAUCUGCCUGGUAGUGGGGGACAACGUUUCGAAAGGAACGCUAAUACCGCAUACGUCCUACGGGAGAAAGCAGGGGACCUUCGGGCCUUGCGCUAUCAGAUGAGCCUAGGUCGGAUUAGCUAGUUGGUGAGGUAAUGGCUCACCAAGGCGACGAUCCGUAACUGGUCUGAGAGGAUGAUCAGUCACACUGGAACUGAGACACGGUCCAGACUCCUACGGGAGGCAGCAGUGGGGAAUAUUGGACAAUGGGCGAAAGCCUGAUCCAGCCAUGCCGCGUGUGUGAAGAAGGUCUUCGGAUUGUAAAGCACUUUAAGUUGGGAGGAAGGGCAGUAACUUAAUACGUUGCUGUCUUGACGUUACCGACAGAAUAAGCACCGGCUAACUCUGUGCCAGCAGCCGCGGUAAUACAGAGGGUGCAAGCGUUAAUCGGAAUUACUGGGCGUAAAGCGCGCGUAGGUGGUUUGUUAAGUUGGAUGUGAAAGCCCCGGGCUCAACCUGGGAACUGCAUUCAAAACUGACAAGCUAGAGUAUGGUAGAGGGUGGUGGAAUUUCCUGUGUAGCGGUGAAAUGCGUAGAUAUAGGAAGGAACACCAGUGGCGAAGGCGACCACCUGGACUGAUACUGACACUGAGGUGCG
rnacentral:rRNA from 1 species